rnacentral:rRNA from 1 species
UGAAAGGCCAAUCAAACCGGGAGAUAGCUGGUUCUCCCCGAAAGCUAUUUAGGUAGCGCCUCGUGAAUUCAUCUCCGGGGGUAGAGCACUGUUUCGGCUAGGGGGCCAUCCCGGCUUACCAACCCGAUGCAAACUGCGAAUACCGGAGAAUGUUAUCACGGGAGACACACGGCGGGGGCUAACGUCCGUCGUGAAGAGGGAAACAACCCAGACCGCCAGCUAAGGUCCCAAAGUCAUGGUUAAGUGGGAAACGAUGUGGGAAGGCCCAGACAGCCAGGAUGUUGGCUUAGAAGCAGCCAUCAUUUAAAGAAAGCGUAAUAGCUCACUGGUCGAGUCGGCCUGCGCGGAAGAUG